AUCGAACGCUGGCGGCAAGCCUAACACAUGCAAGUCGAACGAGUGGCGGACGGGUGAGUAAUGUCUGGGAAACUGCCUGAUGGAGGGGGAUAACUACUGGAAACGGUAGCUAAUACCGCAUACCAUCGGAUGUGCCCAGAUGGGAUUAGCUAGUAGGUGGGGGAAAGGCUCACCAAGGCGACGAUCCAUAGCGGGUCUGAGAGGCUGACCAGCCACACUGGAACUGAGAUACGGUCCAGACUCCUACGGGAGGCAGCAGUGGGGAAUAUUGCGCAAUGGGCGCAAGCCUGAUGCAGCAAUGCCGCGUGUAUGAAGAAGGCCUUCGGGUUGUAAAGUACUUUCGUCAGGGAGGCGUUACCCGCAGAGAAAGCCCCGGCUAACUCCGUGCCAGCAGCCGCGGUAAUUC
rnacentral:rRNA from 1 species